AGCCGCCGCGUCGCCGCCAUUUUUUAAAGGGUCCGCAGCCUGACUCUGCGGAGUAAGGGGGGCUGGAGCGGGGGGAGUCGGCCUCGCCAGUGCGCAUGCGCGAGGCCCAAGCCGCCGCUUGGGUCAAAGUGAAAGCCACCGUUGCCCGGGGAUGGGUCCCUGACACUUGGCGAAGUAGGAGCCCUGUGUGAUCGUGCGUCUGAGUCUGGGCUGAGACCAGUCCUGGCCAGGGCAGUUACCAGGACGGUCUCCGGAGGCCGGGAUUCGCGGAGGGUCCACCAGCAGGAAGAAACCCCAAGAGGAAGAAACCUCAGACAGAUCGCCGGCGAGGCAGCGCGGGAUCCCAGCCUCAGGCGUGCGCGGACGGUGUGCGGGUGGAAACCCCCUUCCCAUGGGGUGAAGCGCAGUCUGCUCCAGAGACCCACUGUUAGGGUCGGGGAUGUCACAGAAAUUAACAGGGCAGCCAAUUCCCAUCCAGAGGGGCCCAGGAUGACCCCGAACCCUCUAGCUCAGCCCCAAGCUCGGGCCAGGGAGUGAAGCCUUUGUCCCCAAGCAACAGAGUGAGGGUCUGUCUCUAACCCGGUGGGCUCCAGUGAAAGGAAAAUGGCCUGGAGGUGCCCACAGGAGGGCGCCCUAGUUCUGAGACAGGUCUACGGCUCCCAGACUGUGUCCCCAUGAGUAACAGAGGGACACGCAGAGGGGCAUACUGAGUGCCUAUAGGGGACUCACAGACUGCAGAUGCACGCUGCGGAUCCAGAAGCCGGUCAGCGCACACAACCAAGCUUAGGAGCCGACUGUUAAGAUGCCCCAGUGACACGGACAAGUUUCUCCUCUGCAACCCAAUGAGAGCUGCUGACCACGAGAGCAUCGCGGGACCGCCAAAGGAUUCUGGAAAAUGUGGUCCCGGGUGGCCAGUGUGCGCUGACCUUCACCUGAAGGUACGGCUUGAAGGAAACUUCUGGAGGGUGGGGUGGUGUUGAAGAGAAGGCACAAUUGUCACCAUUUUGUUCAACAUGGGCGUUUUCUUUGUGCAUUGAUUUGCAUUUUUAAAGGUAUUCCAUUAAAAAUAUGUUUAUCUAUUUUAAUGUUUUUUUGGUGCCCCUUUAAAUUCUCUAUCCACAGUCCUGAGCCUUAAUACGAAGUGAGGGCCUGGCCUCUGGGCAUCAAGCAGCCAGAAAGUCCCUUAGGAGCUUUCUCUGAAUUGUUGAAUUGUGACUGAUCUUUUCCUUUCCUGACUUCCUUAAUAUCCACAAUUUCCUCGUAACCAUCCCCCCAAAGCCACACCCACAAGGCACCUCCAAGACCUAUCAUGAAGCAGAUAUUCAAAGAUUAUUUGUAAAUCUUCACACCCCACCCCUUCCAGAAUGUCUUCCAACAUCCCUUCGCCUGGAGAAAUAAAACACAAGGUUUGCAUGUUGAGUAUCAGCCUCUCCCAUUGGGUGGGUGUUUAGGAAAAAGAAUCAGCCAAGAGCCCUAUUCCAGCCCAGGUAAAUGACUUUGCCAAAGAUUUAAUAUCCACAAAUGUACAAUGCUCACUGGGAA
rnacentral:lncRNA from 10 species